rnacentral:sRNA from 12 species
GAUACAUAAGGGUCGAAGAGGUGGCUCAUGAAUAUGGAUUUAGUGUUGAGGAAACUGAAUAUAUAGCUAUCCUCAAAAGGCUAAAAGAGGAGAUAGUGCUUCUGAUAAUUCAGAAGGGCGUCGUGAAACACAUUUUGUGGCUCGUCUGUAACUCCCGGAGGUGAGAACACCUCUUUGUACACGGGGCGAUAUAGGAGUCUAGAAGACUGGCGUGUACCUACA